AUCCUACGCGACGCAGCAGUGGGGAAUAUUGGACAAUGGGGGGAACCCUGAUCCAGCGACGCCGCGUGAGUGAAGAAGUAUUUCGGUAUGUAAAGCUCUAUCAGCAGGGAAGAAAGAAAUGACGGUACCUGACUAAGAAGCCCCGGCUAACUACGUGCCAGCAGCCGCGGUAAUACGUAGGUGGCAAGCGUUAUCCGGAUUUAUUGGGUGUAAAGGGCGUGUAGGCGGGAGCGCAAGUCAGAUGUGAAAAAUCAGGGCUCAACCCUGAGCCUGCAUUUGAAA
rnacentral:rRNA from 1 species